rnacentral:lncRNA from 1 species
GCCAUUUUUAUAAUGAUAAGCUCUGAGGUUUUAGCUAGGGAGUUGUCUGAGACUUCCACCACUUCAGAAGAGGACUGUAAGAACCCUCUCAUUAUUUUCUCCCUAUUAUUAUCUGUAUAAUUAUUUAACCUUUCAAAUUAGUGGUUAACGUACGUGCAACUUGUAGUAAAGGUAUUAUUUCCUCUAAAGCAAGUACUUAGGUUUCGUUUGGUAAGGUGUAUAAGAAUAGUACUAAAUAUUGUGUAUCAGUAAUGCUGAGAUUAGUUAUGUUAGGAUUAUUUUUUGUGGUUGUUUGAUUUGGUAUAUUAAAGGUUUUGAAAUGACAAUUCUGUCUUUAUACAUGCUUAUCUAUGUAUUAAAGACUAUGGUAUUGCUAAUGCUAUGAUUUUUGUUAUAUAUACGAAUAAUACUGAAUAUGGUGUAUAACUAAUAUAAAUAUAAGUUAAAAAACACUACAGAGCAAGAAAUUAACAGUACUAAAGUUAAUACAUGUAUUAUUUUUCCUAAUACACCCUAUCAAACGACCCCUUAGAGUUACACGUCUGGUGUUCCUAAUGCUAGCUUGAUCAUGAAUCUUAGCAAGUUUUAUAGUAUUUCAUUUGACCUUAACAUAGCAAAUAUUAUAAAUGUGCUUGUAUCACGAAAAAUUACAUAUAAGUAAAGGAUUUAACAGUAUAAAAGAAUCUUAUGUGAUCUGAUCUGCAUUCGACCUAAUACUACAAAACAAUUUCACCAUCGACGUGUAGAAAUUAAACUUGUAAGAUUAUGGAUUACGGCAAAAUUGUGUUAAUUUUCUAGUUUAGAGUUGAAAGAGAAGGUGAAGUUGUCCCUUUGACCUAUAAAUCACGGGUUCGAACCGUAAAAGCAGCCGCGAAUACUUGCACUAGGAUAGGCUGUCUACGUCACAUCCUUGGGGUGCGACCCUUCUCCGGAUUCUGCGUGAAUGUCGAUGCCUUAUACACCGGGCUGUCCUUUGCUAGUUUAGAGUUAGUACAAGAAUAAAACAGCUAAUAAAAAUAACAUACCUUUUUUCACACAAUUGAUGCAGCAAAGAAAUCCGAUAACAAGAAUGAAGUGCAUGAAGCUCAAUAUGGUGGCGGAUACCCCGGUGGUGGCUACCCUGGCGGUGGAUACCCUGGCGGCGGAUACCCUGGUGGCGGCCGUGGUGGCGGUGGAUACCCUGGUGGCGGCCGUGGUGGAUACCCAGGUGGCGGCCGCGGUGGUGGACGUGGAGGAUACUGCCGCUAUGGUUGUUGCGGCCGCCGCAAUUACUACGGCUGCAGCAGGUGUUGCUACUACAAAGGUGAGGCCAUGGAUAA